ensembl:snRNA U6 U6 spliceosomal RNA
GUGCUUGCUCAGGCAGCACACCUAAUAAAUUGGAAUCGAUACAGAGAAGAUUAGCAUGGCCCUUGUGCAAGGAUGACACGCAAAUUCGUGAAGCAUUUCCACAUUUU